ACUAGAUCCGUUCAGCAGUCGCCUCAGAGCGAGUGUGGGUGUGGAGGGUUCGUGUUCCCGCUCCCUUCAUCCUGCACAGAAAAUGGCAACGUCCCCCAACAACAGCUUCACUGAUGAAAAGAGGGAUUCAGCCAAGGAUCAGGCUGACGAACAUUUCAGACUAGUUCAAGCCAGGCUGCAUCUACCUCCCGGGAGAGCAGAACACAAGCCUUGGGUCUCUACUCCAGUUGUUUGCUCUGUGAAGACAGGAUUUCUCAAGCACACGGAUCAAAAAGGAUGUCCUACCAGCAGCUACCACCUGACUUCCGCUUAAGCACCCAGCCAACAGCCCACACGAGACCUUUGGGCCUUUCCAGUGCCCACUCUUUAAGCCUGUAACAGGCCAGUCUGCUCCUUUGAUGACUUGGGAACCCAGCCCAGCUGGAUCUGUUCAGUUAUUAGGUCCAGGAAGGACUGAGAGCUCAUUUGGAAAGGAGCUGGAGAAGGGUCAUGGGCUCCUGAUCUAGGCCCUGAGGCAGUUUUAUGUCAUGUUUUGCCUCUGCUUUGUGUUUGCAUUAGUAUAACUCUCCCUAUGGAAAGGCCUGAGAGAGUUAUGGUCUCUCUGGCUUUCUCCUGGACUGGUGAGGGGCCAGCACCAGUUCACAAGGCCUGACUGGAAUGGCCUGUAGAGCUGUGUUUACAUGCAACUCCAGCACACUUGUGGCAAAAACAGACUGCAGUGGGAUGGAGCUGGCCCAAGUGGGCAUCAUUCAGAUCUGGGGGAAAAGCAGAUCAGCUUUGCUGCUGUUAACCUUGGCCCAGACAAAAUGGCACAGCCUGGAUUAGGUCAAUGUGGAGAGAUCUCUGCACCUGGGAGAAGGCUGCCCUAGUAGAGAAAUUGUUGUUGCAAAUGCAGCUCUCUGGAACUGGAAACACCCAGCUUGCUGGAGGCAUCGAAAGUGCAUUAAACCCUGUGCUUACACAACUGUGCUCUUUGCAGUGGCCUUAGAUGCUCCUGUGCAAGCAGGUGCCUCUGUGCCUAAUUGUCCUCAUCCAUCACAGCACAGGGCCGGGUGCCUGGGAGAGAGGAGCCCGCUGCAAGACGCUGCACUCCGUGAGCAUCUGCUGCUGUCUGCCGUUUGGGUCUGUCAUGCAUACGUUGCUCUCUGGUGUUGAACUGCAGUAGUAGAUGCAGAGGAGACAAGA
rnacentral:lncRNA from 1 species